UACGUUCAGAGAUGUGCUAUAUAAUGGAAGACUUUCAUAAUGCAGAUAAUGGUAUUGCUCAACCUCGAAAUACGUUUAUAGCUGUUUGAAAUCAUCUCUUUCCUAUUUUCCAGUCUCUUAUAAUAUAUUUUCUCUGAUAUAACAUUAUCUAAUUAUGUUUAACUUGUGUGGAAUUUAUGGUACACAAAUGUGGAAUGAAGAGUGUAAUAAUAAGACGUCCAAAAGCCAAGCACCGACUUCUUCUCUGUGUUGCAAGAACAGAAAUGUUAAGCUUCCAAAGAACCUCAGCCACCUGAACCACUAGCGUCUUUGUUGACAGGUGGUUUUAAGUCCAAGCAUUGGGUGGUACAUCCGAUGUUAUAGAUCCUGACAUAACAUUCAAAUUCAAAUAUGUUGUAACCACUCUCAACUGUUAUGAUCAAUGGACCAGCCACCAUCUCCACGCAGAAAUCCUUCCCGAUCGACAGAUAUGGUGCUCGACGAAAAAGACUCGGCACGUUCUACAGAAAGUGAAUUGGCAGGACGCAAGCGAGUAGUUCGGACGGGUGAUCCAUACUACGAGGCAGGUAUACAGUUCUUUACUCCCCAUUGUCAAACUUGAUCUCCCCGUUGUUGAUGAUUUGCAUCUCGCAUUUGGUAGCCGUUAAAC